GACAUAGGUGGCAAGCGUUACUCGGAAUUACUAGGCGUAAAGCGCGUGUAGGCGGAUGCUUAAGUCUGUCGUUUAAUCUCUCGGCUCAACCGAGAAAGGUCGGCGGAUACUGGGCAUCUGGAGUGGGACAGAGGAAGCUGGAAUUCCCGGUGUAGCGGUGAAAUGCGUAGAUAUCGGGAAGAACACCGGCGGCGAAGGCGGGCUUCUGGGUCCUCACUGACGCUAAGACGCGAAAGCUAGGGGAGCAAACAGGAUUAGAUACCCUGGUAGUCCUAGCCGUAAACUAUGGAAACUAGGUGUGGGAGGUAUCGACCCCUUCCGUGCCGACGCUAACGCAUUAAGUUUCCCGCCUGGGGAGUACGGCCGCAAGGUUAAA
rnacentral:rRNA from 1 species